GACAGAGGUGCCAAGCGUUAGGCGGAAUCACUGGGCUUAAAGCGUGUGUAGGCGGAUGCCUAAGUACCUUGUGAAAUCCCACGGCUCAACCCGUGGAACUGCUUGGUAUACUGGGGUGUCUUGAGCCAUCUAGGGGCUACUGGAACAAAUGGUGGAGCGGGUGAAAUGCGUAGAUAUCAUUUGGAACGCCAAUGGUGAAAACAGGUAGCUGGGGAUGUGCUGACGCUGAGACACGAAAGCCAGGGGGAGCAAACGGG
rnacentral:rRNA from 1 species